rnacentral:rRNA from 1 species
GGCUCAGGACGAACGCUGGCGGCGUGGAUUAGGCAUGCAAGUCGAACGGUAGAAUCCUUUCGGGGAUUUGAGAGUGGCGAACGGGUUAGUAACGCGUAGGUUAUCUACCCUCAAGCGGGGGACAACCCAGGGAAACCUGGGCUAAUACCGCAUGUGCACAGUAAUGUGUAAAGGUGGCAGCAAUGCUGCCGUUUGAGGAUGAGCCUGCGUCCUAUUAGCUUGAUGGUGAGGUAAAGGCUUACCAUGGCGAUGAUAGGUAGGCGGCCUUAACGGGUGGUCGCCAACACUGGGAUUGAGAUACGGCCCAGACUCCUACGGGAGGCAGCAGUCGAGAAUAGUCUACAAUGGACGAAAGUCUGAUAGUGCGACGCCGCGUGAACGAAGAGACCUUUCGGGGUGUAAAGUUCUUUUCUGUGCGAGCAGUGGUGGUUAGAGUAAUAUGUUAACCAUCUUGAUAUUAGUACAGGAAUAAGCCACGGCUAACUCCGUGCCAGCAGCCGCGGUAACACGGGGGUGGCAAGCGUUGUCCGGAAUUACUAGGCGUAAAGGGCAGGUAGGUGGAUGAAUAAGUCGGACGUUAAAUGCUCGGUCUUAAGCUGAGAGGUGCGUUUGAUACUGUUUAUCUAGAAUGCGGUGGGGGAAGACGGAAUUCCAGGUGUAGCGGUGGAAUGCGCAGAUAUCUGGAGGAACACCGAAGGCGAAGGCAGUCUUCUAUACCGUAAUUGACGCUAAACUGCGAAGGUGUGGGGAUCAAACAGGAUUAGAUACCCUGGUAGUCCGCACAGUAAACGAUAGACACUAGGUGUUGGGGGAGAUGAAUCCUUCAGUGCCGCAGCUAACGCGUUAAGUGUCUCGCCUGGGGAGUACCAUCGC